rnacentral:rRNA from 1 species
GUCCACGCCGUAAACGAUGAUCACUAGAUGUGGGUUUUGCCUAGCAAGAUCCGUGUCGAAGCUAACGCGUUAAGUGAUCCGCCUGGGAAGUACGGUCGCAAGAUUAAAACUCAAAGGAAUUGACGGGGGUCCGCACAAGCGGUGGAACAUGUGGUUUAAUUCGACACUACGCGAGGAACCUUACCUGGGUUUGACAUGUAACUGCAACUGGUGGAAACACUGGGUUCUGUAGCAAUACAGACGGUUACACAGGUGCUGCAUGGCUGUCGU